UAUUUUUUAUUUAGCUGGUGAUGAUGAUGAUGAUGAUGGUGAUGAUGGUGAUAAAGGUCAGAACACACUGACUCCAGCUGCACAAAACUGGAAUUCCAGGAAUGUCUCCACUCCCAAUCUGGCUUUUGGGAGAAAUGAUGAGUAAAGAAGUGGAGAUUCAGUGAAAGAUCCGUUACUCACCUGCAGUGCCUCGCACCAAUACCAGCAUCACCACCAACACCAUGAAUCACCAUUAUCUCUUAAACCCUGCCCACAUCCAUGAACUGAACACACUGACCAACUCUGUACUGGUCCAUCUAACUUUUUAAAAACGAGUCAUUAUGAUCCGUUAAUGUUUGCAGAACUACGUUACAUUUAUUCCAGUUAGGAAUGGAUGCAGUCAACUUUUUUAUCUUAUUUUAUAACUGUGUAUUUUGUGUUAAAUGUUAUAUAGUUUGUAUUUUAUGCUGUAUGUUAUCUAGUUUGUAUUUCUGUAUAUAUUUGUGCAUUGUAAUAAUAAUUUUUGAAAUACAGACUUUGACUGUAUGGAAUCUGCAUUUUUACCUGCUAACGUUUUUAGCUGUGGGGUAAAAAUGAACACACUGCAUUCAUUAUUUGCACUUAGAUCUCAUAUUUAUUCUGCUUUAAUGCAGAAUUUUUGAAGUGGCUUUGAAAUGCAGAAUUUUGUAAUGAUUU